rnacentral:lncRNA from 1 species
UAGUUUCAUAUGCUUUAUUUUUUACUGUAGUAAAUGAAAAAUAUAGCCCCAUCAAACCAGAAAAUUGAAUCUUGCUUGAGGACAAUAAUUAAAAUUCUUCUUAAAUCAUCAAAGUCCAGGGCUUCCUUCAAAUGUAAACUUUUCUUUUUUAAAAAAGUGUGUCCUUGCUAUUUUUACAUACCAUCCGUUAUCCCCAUAAUUACAUAUCACCCUUAAAAUAUGGCAAGAAUCUCAGAAAAAAACAUGGACAUUCUUAGUAGCCUCUGUAAAAUAAUUUAUUUUUAGGUGUAAUAAUUAACAGCAAUAUAUCUAUAGUAUUAAAAUUUACAAAUCAUUGUUAGAACUGAGCAAUUCAUAGGUAACCAAUAAGGGAGGAAAGGAAUUAGAAAGCAACCAAGAAAAACAGCUGUAAGAAUAUGGAGAUAUUCUUCAUAUGCAAUAAGGUGGCAAAUUUAUUCAAAAAAGCAUGAUAAAUAUAAAGGAUGAGUAUAUUAUAAUAUACAUGUGCACAUAUUAAAUGUUUGAAAUCACAAAUUAUGAUUUAUUUUCUCAACUAAACUGUUACUAUAGAAUCAUAAAAAGGAAGAGAAUCUUGAUGAUUUUUCCAUUAGAGUAUACCAUGUUAGAUCUGGCAGAUGACUUUUCACUUUUUAUAGUGCUCCAAAAAUUGGUACACUUCCCUUUGCCUUUUGGAGACAUCACUGACUUUGAUAUUCAGAGUGGUAAAAUCAUGAUAUAAAAAUUCUUGCCCAUUGAAACUCAAUUAUCCUAUUUACUUGAUUUUUAGUCCCUUUCUUCAUUUUCCUUAUUUAGAUAUUAAUCUCUACUAAACAACCAUUACUCUAUUUAAAAAAUUUAAGUCUACAGCUUGAAUAAUCACAGCUCUAUUAAUAUUGGAUAUUAGGACCUCCCCGCAAUUUUUACUCCUAUAUGAUAUCAGAAAUAUUAGUAUCUUCUUCAAGGGAAAUGGGAAAAUUAUGUGAGUUUUAAAAGGGGUUUAUAUUUCUUUCUUAAAUUAGUAUUCAGAGUGCCCCAUAAUUCUGUUCUCAUAUAAGCAUUUCUCCUGUACAAUUUAAAAUCUGUUUUUUGAGAUUAAUUUUUUAAAUGAGUCUUCUUAGAACAUCUUGCUUUGGAGUUUGGGAGUUAAAUCCUUUCAUUAAAUGUUUAAAAAGAAUAUAUAUUCUGAUGUCUUGGGAUAGAACGUUCUAUAAAUGGCAGUUAGGUCAAGAUGGAUGAAAGUAUUGUUCAUGUCUUCUAUAUCCCUACUGAUUUAAGGCUACAGUUUUUAAAGACUGAUAGGGAGGGACUUGACGCCAGAAUCCUGAAGGAUAAAGUAAGGUAAAAAAGUGUGUAGAAAGACAGUAUAGAUCAGUGCUUCUCAAACUUUAAUGUGCAUAUGACUCACCUGGGGAAUUUAUUAAAAUUCAUAUUCUGCAUUUUAUAUCAGAGAUAAAAAAGAAUUCUGUUUGGGCAUAGAAGUUGUUUUCACCUGCCUCUGAGAUACUUGCUUCUAUACUAGCACAAUGGCAGCAUUGUUGGUUGUUCACCCCAUCCCCAUUCUUCUCUUUUUCCUAACAGCAACCCUUUUUUUAUUUGGAGUGGCAAAAUGUCACUAUAAAAGGAAAAAAAUCCCUCACCUUCCUAGCCUCCCUUGUAGUUAGGGUAACCAUAUGACAAAGAUCUGGCCAAUGGCAUUCAAGCAGUAUAUUUUGCCAGUAUAGUCUGCUGGUUAUAGUUGGGAAAGCAUUUAUUUUUCCCAUAUGAUAAUCUCACUUUCCUAUUUCAUCUUUCUUUAUUCUAAUUAGAUGGAAAAUAUGAGUCACGAGAUGACAGGCAAAUUAUUAGAACAAAAGGAUGGCAAAGAGAAAAUAGUGGCCUGGGUACUGGGUCACUUCUUUGAGUAGGUGCCCCAGUCUGAACUGCCUUGCUUUUCACUUUUCUGUUCUUUUCUCUCGAGAUAAAUGAACUCCUCCUGCCUGUUAAAGCCACUGGCAGUCAGAGUUUCCAGUGCUUAUAGCCAAAUACCAUUCUAACUGAUGUACUCACCAAUAAUAAUCGUAACUUCCUUUCAUAUGACACUUCAUGGUUUCUUCAUCAGCAUUAUGUGUGACACAAGCAAAAACAAAAACAAAAAAACUGCCAAUGUAUCUAUUUCAAGACAUCCCCAGAAUUCUGUUAUUAAAUAGCAUUGAUGAGGCAGUCAGCCAGAAUGUUUAAGCUGUCCUAAAUUACUGCCUCCUCUGUGUUUAGGGAGUCUGCUCUUGGUCUUACAAGUCCAAAAGCAGAAUAUUACAAAUUCACAUAGAAGUGAUCAGGAUCUAGAGACUUGAUUUAUGCCAUGCAGAUUCACAGGGCAUUUGUUUAUAAAAUUUGUGCUGGAAGAUUACUUGUGAACUAGGGCCAAACCCUUAAUUAUGACUAGGGAAACCCAGAAGAUAAAGUUGCAUUAAAAGCCUGCUUGAUGGAAACAGAAACAUACAAAAGAUGGCCUUACAGGGAAAAAGUUAAAGUGUUACCACAAAUGUAUACAUGAAAUGACCAAUAAUUUUAUUUUAUAUUUCAAAUAACUAGAAUUGUACAGAGUUUAAUUUUACAGCUUUAGGGCAAGGAUAAACUCAUUUUUAUUUUUGCAGUAAAAGGUAUAAAUAUUGAAAAUUAUGUAGGUUUAAAACUUUACUAUGAUAUAGACACAUUCUCAAAUUAAUGAAUUUUACUGAGCUUUUUAUAUCAAACUUACUGAUAUUUAAUGCAAAAUAAUAAAUAUUGAGAUUCUUGGUUGUACAUUAUAAAAUGCAUCACAGAGCGAUUUAUUGAUGCAAAGGAACCGUUUUGGCUCAUGUAAGUGAAAAGUCUAGGAGUCACAUCUUUAGGCAUCGCUGGAUCCAGGUGCUGAAAUGAUGUCAUCAGGCCCAAAAUGUCUCUUUAUUGCUUGAUUCUGCUUUCCUGAGUUGGUAUCAACUAGGAGACUCUCUCUACAUGCUCCAUGGCAGCUCCAGGCUCACACAUACUUAGUAUUAAGAUUUUCUCCUCUUCUUUAAUAUAAAGGAAAUUCAGCUAGAUGAUCUUUAGUUCAAAAUUCUGUGAUAUAUAAAUAACUCGAAAUAACUGCUAACAGUUAAUGAAACAUCUGAUUCAGUAAAGAUAAUGGUUAUUUACAAUUGAGUAUUGCAUAUUAAAAAGUUCAUUAAAGGUUUAUUUUUAUAGUUAUUUCAAAUUUGCCUUUUGCAUUUUUAGUAACUAUGAGUGAUACAAGCAAAACUACAACCUAGCACAAGUUGAAGUAUCACAAAUUUCAAGUCAAUUGCUACCAAAUUAGAUUUUAAUAUAAUUUAGAUACUAAUAUUAGUGUAUAUGUGAAAAGUGUUUGCUAAUGGGAAAUUUAGCCCAUUAAUUGUCAAUCAACAGUCAAGAUUUAGAAACCUCCUUUUUUACAAGAAACAAGUAGAAACUGGGAUGGGAGAAUAACAUUAGCAAUUGCAAACCUCAGUUCGUUCCAUUAAAAUGUUGAUUGCCUUGGGAAUAGAUGCUGUCACAGGAGAAAAAAGUGUAAAUUCAAACACUUAAGGAAUAAACUCUUAUAAAGUACAAUGUGAUUUAUCAAUUAAUUAAAUUUGAAUUCCAUGGAAUGAAAUAUAAGUCAACAAGUAUGACAGUUUGCUUGUUUAUUAUGGAAGAAUCAUUAAUAAUUUGAUAAUUAAAUGGUCCUGAAUGGUUAGCCAUGUUCUCCGCAUUUAAAUAAAUAGUAUAAACAUAAAUGAAAAUAUUAAAGUAAUUUCAACGUGAUAGAGACCACUUAUUUUUAGUUCAGGUAGAGUUCCAACCUAAUGGUAAUUAAGAUUCCAGAUCCGAAAGAUGUCAUGUGAAUAUUGCUCUGAAAAACCAAAAUUAAAGCUUUCUUAAAGAUGCUGUGUAGGGCUGAGAGGUUUUUCACUUGUACCAGUGAGAGCUGCAUCAUUAAUAGUCUUCAAAUUCAGCAAGUUCUGCCUCUAGAGAGCACCAGAGCAGCUACUUAUGAUUUGUUUCAUGACUCUGAAACUAUUACUCCCUCCAAUGGCUCUACAAAGCCAAUAUAAUGUGCACUUGGAUACCUAGUCCCUCAUGGCUACUGCACAAUGCUUAGGUUGUUUAUAUUUGGAAGUCAGAAAAACAUGUUGCUUGAAAGGCAUUAAGAUGCAUGGGGUCACUUAAAGCUAUUGACUAUAUUUUCAUUCUCUGUUGGCACUUAGGGAAGGCAUUUCCAGAUAAAUGUCUUCGGUAUGGCUAGUCAUUAGUUCUCUAAUCUGUAAUUUAGACACUGCUGUCAAACUAAAACAUCCAGUCCUUUGUUAAGCUCUGUUUUUUAUCACUUGCCCUAAGCUAUGAGCAAAAUGCCUACAUUGACAAUAACACAUUUAUUAAAUUGCUAUAUCAACGUAUUCACCACUCAGUCCAGCCUAGUGUUGCUAUUAAACUUUAGAUGUCUCUCCUAUGGGCUCUCAUAUCACCCAAUACAUAUCUUCACCAUGUCAGUAUUUACUUGCUGGGGAGGUGGCCUUACCCUACACUUGAAUUUCUCAAAGCCUGUCUUAAAGACUAGUAUCUUUUAAGUCUUUGGUUACAUCUAAGUUCCCAGCACUUAGCAGUGUCUGGCAUUUGGUAACUCUCAUUGUUGAACAGAUUGUUGCAAAGUUACUUGUUUUCCUUCCAUGGCACCAACCUUAAAGGUUAGAAUCACCAUUCCAAAAUUUCCUUUCCAUAAAUUUAUGUACAUCUUUUGAAACUCUGUACUUCCAGCCUUUAUCAUAUCUGAAAAUCUGACAUGAAAAUGUGUCAGCUCAGUUUAAUUACUGCAAUAGCUUCCUAACUUGAAACAAUUUGCCUCCAGUUUCUCCUUCAGGUUACCAAUUCUGUUCAAUGCAUCCAAAUUCAUGUUCCCUUAAACGUCUUAGAUUUUUAAUCCCCUAAAAUCAACUUGCUGCUCUAAGAAUAAAGUAUUAACUUUGCACUAGUAUUGAAGGCCAUCUCUUCCCUUCUCACUAAUUUUCAAUGAAAAUUUUAUUUAGAUAGUGAGUUGGGGGUCCCCAAGAUCAUACUGAGGUUCAUUGAUACACUUGGAAUCAUAGGACUCAGAAAAGCUGCUAUGCUCCCAGUUGCAGAUUAUAGUGAGAGGAUAUAGAUUAAAAUCAGUAAAUGGAAAAGGUGUGCAGGGUGAAAAUCAGGAGAAACCAGGCACAAACUUCAAGAUGUCCUCUCCCAGUGGAGCUGCACAGACAGCACCUAGUUCAGCAACGGUGUUUACCAACACAUGCAAAGUAUUGCUAAUAAGCUCUCUUGAGCCUUGGUGUUCAGGGUUUUUAUGAGGGUUCAGUCACAUAAAUAUUCAGUUCCCUCAUAACUGACCUUAGCUCCUGAAUCUCGUUUCCCAGAGCUUAAACUGUAACAGCAAGGCCUAUGGUCUCAGGCAUACAAAAGCACUCUUAACAGGUAAGACAUCCCAAGGACUCAAGAGAUUUUCUUCCAGGAACUGGUGAAGGACAGGUCCUUUCUUUGCAAUAAAAAGGAUUUGAGCCUUUACUGUACAGAGAGGUCAGUCUACUCCUUAUUACUCAACCACAUCUUACUCCUUCUUGCCUUCCUGUCUGCCAAUUUGAAGUUUUCCUAACCAUCUAUGGAAAUCCUUACUAUCCUUAGGGUCAAGCACAAGUCAUCCAUUUCCAUGAAGAUUCUCCUCCAAUCUCUCCCAUAUUGCUAUGCAUAGAGGAAAAUGCAUCUUUGCCAUGCAUGGGAAGCUUUUAUAUAUUGCCUUCAAACACCAGUUUACCGGGCAUGUCAUCUCUGUUACUGUCAUGCAGUAAAUACUCAGGAAAUGAAGGAUUACUAAUGAGUUGUUAAGGUUUAUUCUUCUUUCUUUAAUGUAGAAUUUCAUUUGACCUAAAAUUAUCCUUCCAAUCUUCAUAGAAUAUUUGGUUUUAAUAUACAAAAUUAAAUAUGCAAGCUCUUAUCCAUUCUUCAUUUCAGAUCUCUGGCAUAUUCUCAUUUCUCAUUUAUCUUUUCACACCAAAGAAAUCUAACCUUUUUAUAACUUAAUCACUUUGACUCUGGUUGCUCCUUUCUGUACUUUCUCUGCCUCGUGUUACUUUUAAAAAUUUGAUCAAAUUUUUAAUUUUAAAAUAUGUGAUUAAAAACAUCACAUUACCUUUGCACCAGGGAAGCAUACUUUCAUUUACAAUAAAUUUCCAGUCCUGUCCAGAAUUUUCAUAGUUUUUCUUUUCACCAAAAUUAUCAGGGAAUGCUAUCAAUUACUUCUUAGUACUUUUCCUAGGCCACAAUAAAUAAUUUGGAGUCCAUCAUUCAAUAUCAGGAUAAUUGUUAGCUAUCAUUAAUAUUGACAAAUUAGUAUGUUCUAGGGAGUGCUAACUGCUUAUCUUAAUCUUGACAGUACAAGGAAGCAGGUACUCAUUUUCAUAGCAACUAAGACAUGGUAAGAUUAAUAUGCUAAGCUCUGCAAACUAAGUAUGACUCCAGAGUCUGUGCCUUUCACUGCCAUGCUACACUGGACUAGCCCAAGACCCUAAUCAACAAUUUCCUUUUAAAAAUCAUACCUCCUAUGAGUGUGAAUUGAAGUGUCUCUGUAAUUAGCAGAAUCACAAUUAAAAUAAAGCUUAUCCAAGUCAGAUUCAGAGAGCUAUUUUUUAAAAUAAAAAUUUAAAUUUUAAAAUAAAAAAUUUAACUUUUAACUAUCAUUGUGAUCACUUUCAGGGCAUUUAUUUUAAAAUGUGAAAUAAGCCAUAGUGCAGCAUUUUCUGGCAACUUGUAUCAGUUAAUGAGUUUUCUAGAGUAUGAUUUAUUAUAAUCAUUUUGUUGAUAUGAGAUGAAACAUGAUAGCUUGUGCAUAUUUUCAUAUAUCAAACAGAAACAUAUUAGUUUCCUGCCUGUUCCCCACCCCAACACACACUAGUUUUUAAUACAAGACACAAUGUAUUGUGUCCCUGGAGUUGUCUCCCCACCCACCCUGACUCCUGGAUUCUUUUUAACGUAUUUCAAAUGUAAUAACAAUUUGGUACCAUACUAAUUAUAUGGCAUUUGUAAAGCCAGUAUAUGUGGAAAAAAAAAAAAAACCUACAUAAUAGCAAAAUAUAUGCAGUGUAAUUGAACAUUACCCUAAAGAGAAGAGAGAAAGCGUAUCAUAUCCUUGUAGGGACAUUGAUGGGAAUUUGAUACCAGUUGUAGCAAUGCUUGAUCUGUGCCAUUUCUAACAAGUAAUACUCUGUAAAAUAAAAGGACUUAGGCUGGGCGUGGUGGUUCAUGCCUGUAAUUCCAGCACUUUGGGACGCCGAAGUGGGCAGAUCACGAGGUCAGGAGAUCAAGACCAUCCUGGCCAACAUGGUGAAACCCCGUCUCUACUAAAACAAAAAAAUUAGCCAGGUGUGGUGGCGCGUGCCUGUAGUCCCAGCUACUCGGGAGGCUAAGGCAGGGGAAUCGCUUGAACCCAGGAUGCGGAGGUUGUAGUGAGCCAAGAUUGCACCACUGCACUCCAGCCUGGCGAAAGAGCAAGAAGUGUCUCAAAAAUAAAUAAAUAAAUAAAUAAAUAAAUAAAUAAAUAAAUAAAUAAAAAUUAAAGGACUUAAAAAAAAAGAAACAUUAAAAAAAGAAGGAAAUGAAAAGGCAUAACAAAAAACUAACACAAAAAUUGAGUUAAAAAAAAACUUAAUGCCAAAACCAAGAAGAGGUCGGAAAGGUAUCUGGAAGAACAAUUCUCAGCUCCUUCAUUCCCCAGAUGAUGCCAGUAAGUAGGAGAUGGCAUACUGUUAACUAAUGAAAGAAAUUCUCCUGGUGAAGUCCUAUUUCGCCUUUAUCCUUAGAAUUAUGCAACCUACAGACUUAGCAAUCUUAAAAGAAAAAAAAUAGAUGGGGAAAAUAAUUGACUUGAAUUAUAUUUAUUUUAAAAAGACUGUUUCUAGUUGUUUUGAAUGAAUCCAGAACCCAUAAAUUAUAUCCCAGAAUACUGAAAGAAUCUGAUGAAAUAACACGACCUUCGACAGUAAAUCUGAGUCAAGAUGAUUUGGUUGAGGUAGAUACAGACAGAUAGAAGCUUCACAAGCACAAGAAUACUGUUCCCUGGCCUAUCCACAGCUUUGAGCAUACUGCCUGGCAUGUAUUAAUGGCUUGAUAAGUGUCCCUGACAAAAUUCCAAAAUCUAUUUUUUUGAAGUUUGUGGACAGGUAGAAAAGAAAGCAAUGGCCACUAGGAGGCAGCAUCGAUUUAUGAAGACUAAGCACGUCUCAUGGUUUCCCACUAUACAGAGGAAUGAAGAUCACAUCAAAGCAUCUGACCAAAUCUCACAUCAAUAAUCCCUAUAAACAGGAUGGAGCAUAAGUACUAGAUAUCUCACAAUUAAAUGAAUUUGUCGCUAGUUUAAUGGGAGCACUAUGCUAUUUAAUGGGUAUCAAUCUAAAUGGAGAUAGCUUUACCUUAUCAACAUUUUUUUCAGUAUUACAUGUAGACAGAAAGGAAUUUUUAUCAAAUUUGCCCAUGACUUAAAACUGAGAUUCACAGCCCAAGUUUUUUUAAACCCAAAAUAAGUAAAAUUUAAUUUAAUAAAAUUAAAUCUAUAUGAGGUAAUGACUAUACAAGUACAGAAUGGAGAGGUUCCUCUUUACAUGUGAAAGACCUUUGAGUUUACACUUUCAAACUCCUUGAGUCAAGAAUAUUCGCUGACAUAGAAACAAAUUUUAUUGUACAUUUCUUAAUACUGUAAACUUACACGUACUUCCCACAUAACCUCAAUUCCUCAUCUAUUCUCUUGUAGAGAUAUGGUAGUCAGUGGGACAGACGCUUAAAAAGCUGACAAGACCUAUAUUUUUAACUUUUAUACAUUGGCCUUUGACUACCUGGAAUAGUAUUAAAUAGCUGUUUACGGUUAUGUCCUCAAAAUCAUACCAAAUGUUUAAAAUGCAGUCUAAUGCUACUUUUUACAACCCAAGAAGAUAGCUGUUAUUAUCCUUAUCUUGAAUAAGAUCCUGUGUUUGAAAUCAAUUCUGUGGGGUUAGAGACUCAUCCCAGCAGGUAAGUGCUAGGUCUUUUAAUAAUUCCACCACUUUCCUUCGCUGUUUAGUGACUAUUCCUUUUUGCUCCAUUACACAGCUGCUGAACCACAACGAGUAGGGCCCAAGAAAAUUUUUAAAGCACCUUAGGUAAUUGUAAUGAAAACGGCCCACAAUGCAGGUUUGGGAACUGCGUUAGAUCAUCUGAAUAUUUCUCAUCAGGCUUCUGAUAGAUGCUUGAUAGCAGAUUUUAAGACUAUACUUUCUGAUAACAGGCAGUAUUGUAUAAAAAGCUGAAAGACCUAGUUGAAUUUGAGCACUGUUACUUACUAGUGCUACCUCUUACAAGUCACUUGACCCUGCUGAGCCUCAAUUUUCCCAUAUAUAAAAUGAUCAUUGUAAGCACUCAGCACCAGGCCUGGCACAUGAUAUGCACUCAAUAAAUACUACCUACUAAUUUUGAAGAUGAAGGCCCAGAAUAUACUAACUAUAUUGUCAGUUAAGAGUUGCCUUACAACCCUGGCUACUAAAUUGUCUGGUUCACAUGCCAUUACAAAGGGCCUUUACUUUCUCAUUCCCAUGAUGAAUCUCAGGUUACACGGCUGAGGAAAAUGUUGACAUCGUUAUUCUGUAUUUGCAUUAAAUACCAUUUAAAAGUUGUUUUUAUCAUACUUAUAUCUCACAUUAUUACCUUAAAAAUUCCGAAGGAUGUUAUAAAGUUGUUAAACAGGAUGUUUAAGCAAAUAUUAGUAAAACUUUCUCUCUUGCUCUUCUGGGAUCAAGAUUUGUAAUAUUUAGCCAAAACUGUCAGCAUGUGAGGCCAAGUUACCAAAGUGCUUUGACAUAAAAGCAAUGUUAUUUUAAACUAUUAGUUUAGAUAGUAUCUUGUCAGUUAAAAAAAAAAAAGUCCCUUUUGCAGUUAAUUGCCCUUUCCAAAUAACUUUAAUGAAAAUAUCUUGCCAAGAAACAUCUCUUUGAUUCAUUAAGCUGGGUUUAGAUUGUGCCUGAGUCACAAAGCACAGAGGUAAUUACAGGUUGAAAUUGAUUUGCGCCUCUUUAUAAAUAAGAACUGAUUAUAGAAUAAAUGUCUCAUUAAAUAUAAAAUAUUGACACUGUAUAUUAAUUAUGUUACUACUCAUGGUUGUGGCUCCCUUACAAUUCUCAUGCAAAAAUAAAUCCAAUUUUAAUCGGUUGUGAGAAAACAGUCCACCAUGUGCUUGUAUCCAGGAAUAAAGAAUUACAUAGAUUAUCUGGCAUAUUGUCAUCACAUCCUCUGUAACUAUUCAUAAAAACAAUAAUUCACAUUUUGGGAAUGCUUUUUCCAACAUCAAUCAGGAAAAUACAGCUUUAUAAGGUGUUUCAGAUUGCAAGAAUACAUCACAUUAGAAACCCAUUAUCAUGAGGGACAGGACUGGUUUUUAUUUGUUUAUGUGUAAUGUGUUGAUAUGCCAAGUAUUUUGAGAAAAGAUCUGACUCUGGACUUCAUUUGUACUGUUAGAAUGCAUUUUUCUUAGCAACUGAACAAUGUGUAUUCUUAUUUAAUUUUUGGAAUUACUUUACCAAUUCAAAAUGCCAUAUACUACAAUAUUUCAUUCACAGUCCCUAAAUUUGCCUGUUUGCCUUACCCACUUUCCAUCAUUUUAUUAAUAAAUUGAUUAUAAAACAUUAAUGUGUUCAUAUUACUUUCAUACCUAACCA